UCGGCACGUCAGGUAGCAUCUCUGGCUGCUGUUGACCUUGUUUUUGGAGUAAAACACGGUGGAAGCUGAAUUAGUGAGGAUGACUCCUGCUCCUGUCAUCUCUAAGCUCCUCACACAUCUUUACCUGCACAUGAGGAAAAUCGCUCCUGUAGAAUGCAGAUAUUCAGAGGGAGAUGAUGCCACAUCUGGUCCAGCUGAUGGAAGGUCUUGAAGUUCUCUGACUGGCCUCGACUGAAGAUGGUCUCACUGGAUUUAAGGUUCAGAUGCUCAGUAACAAACUCCACCAAUGAGCCAACAGGGAAGCUUUAGGUUUAUUAAAUGUUGCUAUGAAGAUAUCGCUGUUUUUCUUUGUGAAUGCAAUGUGCUCCAACUGAAACUUGAAUUAGAACUUAGAAGUAAAUCCUUCCAUCUGAAAGGAUUUAGUUGCAUUAAUAACCUCAUAACAUUCUAAUUUUUAUUCCAGUCUUGGUUGGAAAUAGAAUCUCUGUAUUGAUUCAGGUAAAAACUGAACUUCACAGCAUGUUGAAGCAAAACAACCAGAUGAAAACUGUGAUGGUGUUGGAUUGUCAGACCGUAAUGUUGCAGCUUUUCUAUCUCAGUUCAUUCUGACAUUCAGCUAUGAAUCAACACAGCAGAUGGUGAUCCAUGCUGUGGAAGUCUCACAUCUCCUGAUUUAAUGGAGCUGCUUUGCACUUUUUACACUGUUUAUUCACCAACACUUUAUUUAAUAAAAGUUCCAUCUAGUUUUUAUGAGGAAUGUGAUGUUUUAAUUUCUCUGUGAAUAACUGCAGUCUAAUGGAACAGCUGGAGUUGUAACAUCUGUCCUGAUAUUGAUCAUGAAGUAUUGAUCAGAAUACUUAUGGUUAGCAGUCAUCCCUGAAGAUUUACAUUAAAAUCUUUACUUGUGUUGUGAACUUUGGUAAGAAGCAGAAACGUUAGCGUUGCCAUGGAUAUAUGAGUGUUAAAUUCUGUCCAUGUUUUUAUUUUGGGAAAUGCAGUCCAGUUCCAGAAUGUGGAGGAAUUUAGUCUCACAAUCACAGACAACAAAUAUUAUCUGAAAGUCGGGUUAUUGUUGUUUAUCAGCACAAUACAAAAAGAUUAAUGUCAGAAAUAUUCCAGUUAAGACUCUAGAAUAUCAUGAUUUAUGUAAAUUUACCUCAAUAAUAUGAAUGUUCAGGUUAAGAUUGUACAGUGAUAUUUAUUAUGUAAGUUUAGCUGAUUAAAGUUUAUGACUCUGCACUAAAAUAUUAUUUAAAUUGACAUCAUUAUUAUAAUAUUUAGGGUCAGACCCUACAGUAUUGAGAUGAAGAAAUCAAAUAUUCUAUAAAAUGUAAAUACACUGAACUCAUUUGGAUAUAUUUAAGUGAGACUCUACAAUAUUAUUUGACACAAAUCUAUCUAAAUCAAAAUUUUAAUAAUUUUCACGCCAAACAUUUACUGGACUGAUUUAAACUCCAUUCAAACCUGAGGCCUUAAAUAGAAACACACAAGUAUCUGUUUGAAGGAACUUCUGUAGAGUCCUGGUUCCAGAACAUGAUGAUAGAAUUAUAGACA
ensembl:lncRNA